CCAGCGGGUAAUGCCGGGGACUCAUUGGAGACUGCCGGGGUCAACUCGGAGGAAGGUGGGGAUGACGUCAAGUCAUCAUGCCCCUUAUGUCUUGGGCUGCAAACAUGCUACAAUGGCCGGUACAGAGCGCUGCGACAUCGCAAGAUGGAGCGAAUCGCGGAAAGCCGGUCUCAGUUCGGAUCGGGGUCUGCAACUCGGCCCCGUGAAGCCGGAGUCGCUAGUAAUCGCGGAUCAGCAACGCCGCGGUGAAUACGUUCCCGGGCCUUGUACACACCGCCCGUCAC
rnacentral:rRNA from 1 species